UACGGAGGAUGCAAGCGUUAUCCGGAUCUAUUGGGUUUAAAGGGUGCGCAGGUUGUUUGAUAAGUCAGUGGUGAAAGUCUGUCGCUUAACGGUAGGAUUGCCAUUGAUACUGUUAGACUUGAAUAUGGAUGAGGUAGGCGGAAUGUGUAGUGUAGCAGUGAAAUGCAUAGAUAUUACACAGAACACCGAUUGCGAAGGCAGCUUACUAAUCCAUCAUUGACGCUGAGGCACGAAAGCGUGGGGAU
rnacentral:rRNA from 1 species